UACGUAGGGUGCAAGCGUUGUCCGGAAUUAUUGGGCGUAAAGAGCUUGUAGGUGGUUUGUCGCGUCUGCUGUGAAAAUCCGAGGCUCAACCUCGGACUUGCAGUGGGUACGGGCAGACUAGAGUGUGGUAGGGGAGACUGGAAUUCCUGGUGUAGCGGUGGAAUGCGCAGAUAUCAGGAGGAACACCGGUGGCGAAGGCGGGUCUCUGGGCAGUAACUGACGCUGGAGGAGCGAAAGCGUGGGGAGCGAACAGG
rnacentral:rRNA from 1 species